rnacentral:rRNA from 1 species
UACGGAGGGGGCUAGCGUUGUUCGGAAUUACUGGGCGUAAAGCGCACGUAGGCGGCUAUCUAAGUCAGAGGUGAAAGCCCGGGGCUCAACCCCGGAACUGCCUUUGAGACUGGAUAGCUAGAAUCUUGGAGAGGCGGGUGGAAUUCCGAGUGUAGAGGUGAAAUUCGUAGAUAUUCGGAAGAACACCAGUGGCGAAGGCGGCCCGCUGGACAAGUAUUGACGCUGAGGUGCGAAAGCGUGGGGAGCAAACAGG